rnacentral:rRNA from 1 species
GAUGAACGCUGGCGGCGUGCCUAAUACAUGCAAGUCGAGCGAACAGAUGAGGAGCUUGCUCCUCUGACGUUAGCGGCGGACGGGUGAGUAACACGUGGAUAACCUACCUAUAAGACUGGGAUAACUUCGGGAAACCGGAGCUAAUACCGGAUAAUAUAUUGAACCGCAUGGUUCAAUAGUGAAAGACGGUUUUGCUGUCACUUAUAGAUGGAUCCGCGCCGCAUUAGCUAGUUGGUAAGGUAACGGCUUACCAAGGCAACGAUGCGUAGCCGACCUGAGAGGGUGAUCGGCCACACUGGAACUGAGACACGGUCCAGACUCCUACGGGAGGCAGCAGUAGGGAAUCUUCCGCAAUGGGCGAAAGCCUGACGGAGCAACGCCGCGUGGGUGAGGAAGGUCUUCGGAUCGUAAAACUCUGUUAUUAGGGAAGAACAAAUGUGUAAGUAACUAUGCACGUCUUGACGGUACCUAAUCAGAAAGCCACGGCUAACUACGUG